UUGCUCUCUUCAGCAAUACUAAAAUUGGAAUGAUACAGAGAAGAUUAGCACGCCCUCCUCAUGCAAGGAUGACAUGUAAAUUUGUGAAGUGUACCACACUUUU